UAGGGAAUCUUCCACAAUGGACGCAAGUCUGAUGGAGCAACGCCGCGUGAGUAAGAAGGUUUUCGGACCGUAAAGCCCUGUUGUUGGUGAAGAAGGAUAGAGGUAGUAACUGGCCUUUAUUUGACGGUAAUCAACCAGAAAAUCACGGCUAACUACUGCCAGCAGCCGCGGUAAUACGUAGGUGGCAAGCGUUGUCCGGAUUUAUUGGGGCGUAAAAGCGAGCG
rnacentral:rRNA from 1 species